CAAACCAUGUGGCGGAACUAGACCCACUUUGGGUCGACCUGCUGGGUCCAAACACCUGGAACCGGACCCUGCUCAGGUCGACUGCCGUCCCUAAAUUGACAUGAGCGUGAAUUUCUUCAGAUGCCAAACCGAUUCAGGCUCCUCCUUACAUCUUUCCUCCUUUUUCCCACGCAAGAAGAAGACCAGGGUCUUCUCUCACUAUUCUCUUCCAAACUCCAAAUUUGUCUCUCUAGCUCUACGGUCUACUGCUCCCCUUUUUAAUCAACAAGAUUAGGCCCUGAACUUUCUCUCCACCCACCUUCCUAUUUCUCUCUCUACAAAACCUCUCUUUUCUCCCUCUACGCAUGCUUUGUUCCACUGCUACUACUUCCCAUCCAUUCCGCUGUGUUAAACCACAUUACACACAGAUUAAUGGACGCCGCGCACGCAUGAAAUAGAGCGUCAUAAUGGCGCAAACUUUGUCAUAAUUUCAGGUUUCUUGAAGCUCAUUUUCUUCACAUUUAUAUGGGCCAUUUAGAAAAAAAUUGAAAUGAAUGUAUCGGGCAAGCAUGAGUAGGAUUUUCAGGUGGUUUGAGUGGUGUGCGUGCAUCAAAGAUCCAGGUUCGAUUUUCUGUUAGCGACAACAAUCGGCUACAGUUGUCAAGCCUUCAGGCCCCAAUACUACCACUUGGAUCUGGAACCUACAUGCCGAUGCUCACAUUUGCGGAUCUCUGUGAUUUGUCUUGUAAUGGCUAUUGCCAUCUAUAAGGGAUUGCCUUGUGAUUCUUGUUUCCAUGGAGGUGCUUGCUAGUAGUCAUGAUUUUUAAUUUGCAGUGUUCCUCAUACAUGCGUAAUAUCGAUGGCAAAUUAUGGUGGAUUCGUCUACACUUCACCUCUAUCUAGAUUUUCAAGGUAAUAGCAUGAACAACCACAAUCUUGAGUGAUCUCGAAUAUGUCUAGUAAUGAGGUUUUGCUGAAUGAUUAUCACUGAAUAUUCCUUCUGUAUUACCAGACAUUUGGAACAAGCAAUGGCUAUUCAGAAAUUCGAGUAAGCGUUAACAAGAAGAAAAUAAACCAUUGCCCAGAGAGAGAGACGCUUUAUUAUGGUGGGAUUUGCUUUUGGGUUGGAAAGAAAUGGCGGUGAGAGAAGAAUAUAUGUAAAUUGGAUAUCUCAACAAAUGUGAAUUACCUGCAAUUUUCA